rnacentral:lncRNA from 1 species
GCCAAGAUGGCUGGAAUAUCAUUCUCCCACCAAGACCUUGCAAGGACUGCCCUUAGAAGAUGAGGGAGGAAAUUACCAAAUCAUGGUGCUUGUAUCUGGGGUUCUCUGUUUUCAGCAAACACAAACAGCUUUCAUCUUUACCCUUCAUGUGCUGGCUGGGAAUGAGGUGAGGGGAAGCUUGGUUCCUUCUCCCAAUGGGUAAGUACCAGAGUAGCUGUGUGUAGUGCUCAGUUUAUGAGUGUAGUCAAAAAGCAAGGAUAGGAUUUGAAGAAAUAAAAUCUUGUAUUUAAAAAAGAAUGAGGAACAGAAGACAUAGAGAUGUUUUCACAAUGUUGCUAAACAAUAAAACCUUAAAACAAAGCUUAUUACAAUAAUCCCUUGAAUGGGAAAACAACUCCCAAGUAAAUGAAAAUUGGAGAACUAAGUUUUUAUUUCUCAUAUCAUUUUAUUUUAUACUCAUCGACCACGUACUAGCUGAAAACAGUCCUUUCUCUUUUUCUCUUUUGAAAGGCAGCUUCUUGUAUACAUAUUCGUCUAUAAAAACAUAGAACGUAUCUGAAUAUUCUGGUAACGUAAGUGAAAGAAACUAGGAGAUUGGGCAAUGAAUCUCCUAUUUUACCUUUUGAAUUUUUAUAUUGUGUUCAUGUAUUAUCUAUUUUUAAAAGGUUAAAAGGCAGUUCUACAUAGCCUAACAAUUCACAUUCAAGUAUUUUUAUCUUCCUCAAAUUAUUUUCAAAUGUAGACAUAACCAUGUCAUUUACUCUCUCUUUCAACCUAAACUUUGAAGUUUUCUCUCUAGAAAGUUACCUCUAUCUUCUAAAAGAAUUUUUAUGCAAAAUUGUGAAAAUUAUAGAUCAGGCCAAUAAUAACUAACUCCCACACAGCAAUUCACAAUUUAUAAAGUACUUUCAUAUAUGUCAUUCCAUCUGUUUUCGUUCUUUUGUUCAUUGACUCACUCAUUCAUUCAAUAAGAAUUUGGUGAGUGCCUAAGCGUCUUAUACAAGACUCCUGAGAUAGGAGUUGAAGAUAAUAUGAAUAAGCUGCUGUCAAGCAACUCAUAGUGUAGUAUUCCAGUAGGGUACACAGAAAUGUAAAAUAUAAAAAUUAAGAAAGGAUUUUAUUUUUAUAAAUUUUUGUAACAAAUUUUAAAUUUUUACUAUUCCUUUUUAUUUUAUUAUAUUUUAUCAUUUAUAAUAACAUUUUAAAUAUUUUUAAUAAAUUUAUUUUAUAAAUAAAAAUUUUAAAAAAUAUGAAAAAUAUUUAAAAGUAUGACUGCAAUAACAGAACCAUAUAUAACAUAUAGAGACUAAAUUAGUAGCUUUAACUAAUUUAGUUGUUUUAAUUUGGAUGGAGGAUGUUGGCAAAAACUGGAUGAAGUAAUGUCCAUAAUAGAUUUCUUUCUUUUUUUUUUGAGAGGGAGCCUAGCUUUGUCACCCAGGCUGGAGUGCAGUAGCGUG